AAAAUAUAUAUGUUUUCAAGACUACAUAAACGUGCUGUUAAGUUUAUUGCCACAUAUUGCUUUUAAGGUAAACAGCAUAAAAUUAAAGAAGGUUGGACAGUUACAGAAAUCAACUGGUGUUAAGCAUGAUGGUUCAAAAGCAAACUCUUCUUCAAGUUACAGGAAGAAGGGAAACCUUAAAUGUCUACCAUAAGGGAAAGUAUAUAAAAUAAAAGGAGUUUAUGCAUUACCCCAUUCUCAUGUUAUGGCAAACAGUAUUGAUAACUGUGACAGCAGCGUUCUAGAUUAUUUGCUGCUCAGUGAAUUGCCUUUGUGUGCAUAGAUGCCGGUAAACCGUAUUCAGCAAUGUCCUAGCUAAACAUUUUUAACCUCCAAUUGUACAUGCAAAUAACAGUGACUGGGGAAUGCAGUUUGUCCAGCUCUGUGCUCACAAAAGUUCCAUACUCAACACAGAUUCAGUGGCAAGUAUUGCUAGUGCCUCCUGUCUCCUGUCAGGCAUGAAGUGCUGCAUGGUGAGUUUCUGGAGAGCUGAUGAACAUCUUCCAUGGAAAAUGCUGCCUGAAUCAGAAAGUGUGACUACUACUGCAAGCAAGAACAGUGAUCAUCAGAAUAGUGGCAUAUUUCUGCAUUGAGAAGGGACAGAAAGUAUAAGAUUUUUGCAGGAUUUCAAGACUCUCUUUGUGCUGAACAAGCAACUACUGAUGUUCACGUAACAUUUUACAUGUGAAAAACAAUAACUUGGAGGGUAGUUAUUGUUUUUUGAAAGUAAUAAUAUUCAGAUUCAACUUUCAGUUUCAAACAUCCAAGACUCGAUAAAAAAUGCUAUUAGUGUUAAUUAUUUUAUUAUUUAUUUAUUUAUUUAUUUU
rnacentral:lncRNA from 1 species